CAGUGUGUUCCGACACACUAUCGUUAACUGAAUACAUAGGUUAACGAGGCGAACCGGGGGAACUGAAACAUCUAAGUACCCCGAGGAAAAGAAAUCAACCGAGAUUCCCCCAGUAGCGGCGAGCGAACGGGGAGCAGCCCAGAGUCUGAAUCAGCUUGUGUGUUAGUGGAAGCGUCUGGAAAGUCGCACGGUACAGGGUGACAGUCCCGUACACGAAAAUGCACAGGUUGUGAACUCGAAGAGUAGGGCGGGACACGUGGUAUCCUGUCUGAAUAUGGGGGGACCAUCCUCCAAGGCUAAAUACUCCUGACUGACCGAUAGUGAACCAGUACCGUGAGGGAAAGGCGAAAAGA
rnacentral:rRNA from 1 species